UGCUAGUCGCACGAGCUCAUACUCGUGGCGGAAAGCUCAGUAACACGUGGCCAAACUACCCUACAGACCAGCAUAACCUCGGGAAACUGAGGCCAAUACUGGAUGGCGCUUUGACGGUGGAACGCCCCGAAGCGCGAAACGUUCAGGCGCUGUAGGAUGUGGCUGCGGCCGAUUAGGUAGACGGUGGGGUAACGGCCCACCGUGCCGAUAAUCGGUACGGGUCGUGAGAGCGAGAGCCCGGAGACGGUAUCUGAGACAAGAUACCGGGCCCUACGGGGCGCAGCAGGCGCGAAACCUUUACACUGCACGACAGUGCGAUAGGGGGACUCCGAGUGCGAGGGCAUAUAGUCCUCGCUUUUCUGUACCGUAAGGUGGUACAGGAAUAAGAACUGGGCAAGACCGGUGCCAGCCGCCGCGGUAAUACCGGCAGUUCGAGUGAUGGCCGAUAUUAUUGGGCCUAAAGCGUUCGUAGCUGGCCACACAAGUUCGUCGGGAAACCUACCCGCUCAACGGGUAGUCGUCCGGCGAAAACUGUGUGGCUUGGGACCGGGAGACUUGAGGGGUACGUCCGGGGUAGGAGUGAAAUCCCGUAAUCCUGGACGGACCACCGAUGGCGAAAGCACCUCAAGAGCACGGAUCCGACAGUGAGGAACGAAAGCUGGGGUCUCGAACCGGAUUAGAUACCCGGGUAGUCCCAGCUGUAAACGAUGCCCGCUAGGUAUGCCACAGGCUUCG
rnacentral:rRNA from 1 species